AGUGAACGCUGGCGGUAGGCCUAACACAUGCAAGUCGAACGGCAGCACAGUAAGAGCUUGCUCUUACGGGUGGCGAGUGGCGGACGGGUGAGGAAUACAUCGGAAUCUACUUUUUCGUGGGGGAUAACGUAGGGAAACUUACGCUAAUACCGCAUACGACCUACGGGUGAAAGCAGGGGAUCUUCUGACUUUGCGCGAUUGAAUGAGCCGAUGUCGGAUUAGCUAGUUGGCGGGGUAAAGGCCCACCAAGGCGACGAUCCGUAGCUGGUCUGAGAGGAUGAUCAGCCACACUGGAACUGAGACACGGUCCAGACUCAUACGGGAGGCAGCAGUGGGGAAUAUUGGACAAUGGGCGCAAGCCUGAUCCAGCCAUACCGCGUGGGUGAAGAAGGCCUUCGGGUUGUAAAGCCCUUUUGUUGGGAAAGAAAAGCAGCAGGUUAAUACCCCGCUGUUCUGACGGUACCCAAAGAAUAAGCACCGGCUAACUUCGUG
rnacentral:rRNA from 1 species